GACGUAGGGCGCGAGCGUUGUCCGGAUUUAUUGGGCGUAAAGAGCUCGUAGGCGGCUUGUCGCGUCGACCGUGAAAACUUGGGGCUCAACCCCAAGCCUGCGGUCGAUACGGGCAGGCUCGAGUUCGGUAGGGGAGACUGGAAUUCCUGGUGUAGCGGUGAAAUGCGCAGAUAUCAGGAGGAACACCGAUGGCGAAGGCAGGUCUCUGGGCCACUACUGACGCUGAGAAGCGAAAGCGUGGGGAGCGAACAGG
rnacentral:rRNA from 1 species